GUGCCAGCAGCCGCGGUAAUACGGAGGGAGCUAGCGUUGUUCGGAAUUACUGGGCGUAAAGCGCACGUAGGCGGCUUUCUAAGUCAGGGGUGAAAUCCCGGGGCUCAACCCCGGAACUGCCCUUGAAACUGGAUGGCUAGAAUCCUGGAGAGGCGAGUGGAAUUCCGAGUGUAGAGGUGAAAUUCGUAGAUAUUCGGAAGAACACCAGUGGCGAAGGCGACUCGCUGGACAGGUAUUGACGCUGAGGUACGAAAGCGUGGGGAGCAAACAGGAUUAGAUACCCGGGUAGUCC
rnacentral:rRNA from 1 species